UACGUAGGUGGCAAGCGUUAUCCGGAAUUAUUGGGUGUAAAGGGUGUGUAGGCGGGACUUUAAGUCAGACGUGAAAAUCAAAGGCUCAACCAUUGACCUGCGUUUGAAACUGGAGUUCUUGAGAGUGGGAGAGGUAAACGGAAUUCCUGGUGUAGCGGUGAAAUGCGUAGAUAUCAGGAGGAACACCGGUGGCGAAGGCGGUUUACUGGACCACAACUGACGCUGAGACACGAAAGCGUGGGGAGCAAACAGG
rnacentral:rRNA from 1 species